ACGCUCGACACCUACGGGAGGCAGCAGUUGGGAAUAUUGGACAAUGGAGGAAACUCUGAUCCAGUGACGCCGCGUGAAGGAAGAAGGUCUUCGGAUUGUAAACUUAUUUUGUCAGGGAAGAAAAAAUGACUGUACCUGAAGAAAAAGCACCGGCUAACUACGUGCCGGCAGCCGCGGUAAUACUGAGCGGGCGUGGCGAAGGCG
rnacentral:rRNA from 1 species